CAAAAGGCUUGGGGAAUGUUUUCGCUCUCUCCGAAACAAGUCGGUUUUCUUGUUCCUUCGAGUCUCGAUCUCAGAAGCCAUGGUUGUGAAGCCAUCGGGAGACGCUUCGAUGUUAAGCCAUCCGCAUUCUCUCAUUAUCUUCGUCUCUUUUGGCUGUAUCGAAGCUGAAUUGCAGUUUUCUGCCAUUGUUAGUUACUGAUCAGUUACUUGUUAACAUCAAAAAAAUUUGUAGGAACGGGAAGCAAGUCGACGAUCCUAAUCCAAUCGAUUCCGUUAACGAUAAGCAAUUCUUUGGCCUUCCUAUCAAGACAGCCGUCGAUAAGUUUCAACUUCUUCCUGAAUUUUUGAAGGUAAGAGGUCUGGUUAAGCGGCACUUGGAUUCCUUUAACUACUUCGCGAAUAUUGAGAUAAAAAAGAUUGUCAAGGCCAAUUACCUCAUUGACUCCAGCACUGAUCCGAGUAUUUUAUCCUAGGUUUCCAGAUGUAAGAAUCGGUGAGCCUUAUGUGACCGUGAAUGCUGUCAGUGAAACUUUCAAGCCUCAUACAUGCUGCUUGUCCGACCUGACGUACAACAGGUUGCCCAUUACAAGCGUAUAUAUUUAUGGGACCAAUUUACUACCAAAAGUUAAAACACAGGCUUGCAUAAUUUCAUGAUACAUUGGUCUUGGACAAAAUGCAUGCUAGAGGUAAUGGUCUGCGAGUCAUGUUAACUAGACAACCAACAGAAGGGAGAGCUAGGAAUGGAGGACUGCGAGUAGGAGAAAUGGAACGCAAUUGUUCGAUUGCUUAUGGUGCGCACGCUGAUUUUCGAACGCUUAAUGAUCUCAAAUGAACCUUUUAAAGUUCAGGUCCGCAGACUUUGUGGCUUGUUGGGAUAUUACAACCACAAGCUAACAACGGGAAUUUGUUCAUAUAUGCGUGCAAGCUCUUAAUCCAUGAACUUCAAUCUAUGAGUGACGUUCCUCGCUUAAAACUAGUAGAAGCAUGACCCGAAUCAAAGCCUUGAUUCAAACUAGUCAAGACUGUACAAAGACGAAAAUUUUGGCCCAGUCAUCCAAAUUGCAGACAGCUUUAUGCACGCUAUUCUGGAGAUUGCAUCACACAGGAUAAAAUGAGGCCUUUAGGUUCGCACAUGCACAACAAAAUGUCACCAGGAGGCAAAUGCAUUUCUGCGCAUCUAAAGCACAUAUUUUAGACAGAAAGAACAAUGACAAAGGGAAUCUCAUAUCAUCGGAAUUUUGGUUAUGCUGAUCAUCUACCAUCCAGAAUGGAACAAAAUUCGCAAGAAUUUAUUAGCCUGACGGGAGGAACAAUAUAGAGAUUGUACAGAAGACGGCCGAUUGUUGUCCGUCAAAGGAAGGAGCUCUCCCAAGUGCCCAUAUUCAGAUAUACAUAAGCUAGAUGGGGAAGAAAAGCAAUGGUGUUCUGAGCACAUUGGCAGAGCAACAGGGAAAAAGUUUCUAGAAAUUACAGUUGGUAGAAAGAAGGGGGCAACGAGUUUGAUGACUAACUAGUUGGAGCUUUCCUCGGCAUGGUUCAUACACAAAUUUGUAUUAACUGCAGUCGAGACAGUUUUCUGCAGUCAUGGUAUCAUACCGUUGUUAUUAACAGCUUAAAUAGUAUUCCAUGCUAUUUGUAAUGCUAAUGUCCAACAUUUACUAGAUUUAUCUGACAAUUGACAGAUACUGGAGAAAACCUAUUACACUUCUUCUUUAAGUGGAUGGUCUUUGAUAUGUCUCAUUCAAAAUAUUUUGGAUAGUAGCAUUGGGAAAAUCUCAAGACGGAGAUGUCCUUUGGACUUUUACCUGGUUC